rnacentral:lncRNA from 1 species
CAAUACUUUGCCCUCGCCCAUUUCUCCUCGCUUCCGAUCUCUCUGCGCCGUCACAAACUCAUUUCGACAUGGAGAACUCACGCCGUCAGUCUCUUCUUCCAAGCUUCCUCUACACUCCAUCUUCGUUUUCUUCUUUCACUCCCAAAACCUUUGCUGUUCCCGAGAACACCACCAGUGUGUUGCCUGCUGCACAGCCGUUGUCCACCAACAAGAGCUUCGUGAUUCCUGCACCUAGCGAACCUGGAAAGAUCGACAUGUACUCACCGCAAUUCUACGCUGCCUGUACCUUCGGUGGUAUCCUCAGCUGUGGUCUCACUCACAUGGCUGUCACUCCUCUUGAUCUCGUCAAAUGUAACAUGCAGGUCUCGAUCCAAUUUCAUUUACGCUUUGCUUUUCAGAUCUGUCCAUUUCUGACGCGAUCGUUGACUUCUCAACUCUUUUAAACAUUAUUAUAUGCUCCUUUUGUGUGUGUGUGUGUAGAUCCGAUCUACACUGUUCUGGCUUGAAUAUUAUUGCGCAUGUUCUAGAUCUAAAUUUUUAACGUGACUAGCAGGACCGAUUUUAUUGGCAAAAGUGUUGAUGUGGUGAUUUCUCUGUAUGGAGGAGGAGGCGUUAUUAUUUUGUCUAUAGAUUUAAUUGUAUUAUUAUUUCAGAUUUUAGUCUAUCAUGUGUGUAGUAGUUGAUUUUAAAUGUGAAAUGUUCCUCUAUAUGUUGCACAGCGAGGAAGCAAGGCGGCCUUUUCAUUUAAUUUUGAUUUGUGUUAUCUUUAGAUAUAUGGAAAGGGGAAGGAGUGUGCUAUUCAGACUUGGUUGUUUCCCAUUUCAUCCUUCACAUGUCACUUUUGCUCAUUUUGAUUGAGCAAUUUGUCAACACGAGAAUGCAUUGGACUCUCAUGCUAUUAUAGUCUUAGUCUCAGUGCUUUUUAACCCUGAACCUUGCUAAACUAUCCUACUCAGUCACGGCGUGGUAUUAUUGCUUAACAGUCUUCUCUGCAGCAUUAGCUAAAGGUUUUCAAGUAGAUUGAGGAAAUGACAUUUGAAAAUUUGGAUAACUUUUUCUUAGAUUUGUGGUUGAAGAGCUUCAUUUUUACAUGUUUAGACAUUGUGCUCGUAAGGGUCCUAGAUCUUUUACUGUACUGACUUUCCUUCCCAAUGGCAUAGUUUCUCAUUUGCUAGCUUCCCUUUUUACUUUUAUUAACUAUGGGAUGAUUGUCUUCAUGUGUGAAACUAUUCCUUUUGUAAUUAAAUUGUUUCUAUUUUCUUACCGAGCAUUAGUAAUGAAGCAUCUAAACUGACUGAAAUUUCAUAAAUUCCUAGAUUGACCCCGCGAAAUACAAGAGCAUAUCAUCUGGAUUUGGAGUGCUGCUUAAGGAGCAAGGUGCUAAGGGCUUCUUCAGGGGAUGGGUUCCUACUCUUUUGGGUUACAGUGCUCAGGGUGCAUGCAAGUUUGGAUUCUAUGAAUUCUUCAAGAAGUACUACUCUGACCUUGCUGGAGCAGAAAAUGCUGCUAAAUACAAGACUCUGAUAUACCUUGCUGGUUCUGCAUCUGCGGAAGUGAUCGCAGACAUUGCUCUUUGCCCAUUUGAAGCUGUAAAAGUUCGUGUUCAGACACAACCUGGUUUUGCUAGGGGAUUG